UGGACCAAUGAUGGCAACUGAUGGCAUAGGAGUCAUGUGUAGUGAAUACUGUGUGUCUGGAACUAUGAGAUCCAG